rnacentral:rRNA from 1 species
AACGAACGCUGGCGGCAUGCCUAACACAUGCAAGUCGAACGAGACCUUCGGGUCUAGUGGCGCACGGGUGCGUAACGCGUGGGACCCUGCCCUUAGGUUCGGAAUAACUCCCCGAAAGGGGUGCUAAUACCGGAUAAUGUCUUCGGACCCAAGAUUUAUCGCCUUUGGAUGGGCCCGCGUUGGAUUAGCUAGUUGGUAGGGUAAAAGCCUACCAAGGCGACGAUCCAUAGCUGGUCUGAGCGGAUGAUCAGCCACACUGGGACUGAGACACGGCCCAGACUCCGACGGGAGGCAGCAGUGGGGAAUAUUGGACAAUGGGCGAAAGCCUGAUCCAGCAAUGCCGCGUGAGUCAUGAGGGCCGUAGGAUUGUAAAGCUCUUUUACCCGGGAUGAUAAGGACAGUACCGGGAGAAUAAGCUCCGGCUAACUCCGU